rnacentral:misc_RNA from 1 species
GGAAGACACAAGGCAGUGAAGGCGUGAAGGAAGGAGCAGUAGAAUUAGAAUUAUCAGAAGGAGCAAUAAUCUCUGUAUUGUUCUUGAUUGCUAGGCUUGUUUUUCCUCCAAGCAAUAGCUUCUUCUUUAAUUUGGUGUUCCAAUAAUUUUUCACAUCAUUAUCGGUUCUUCCUGGUAGGUGAGAGGCUAUGAGAGACCAUCUGCUUCCCAUUUGACUAUAGAGAGCGAAUAUGAUUUUAUCUUCCUCUUCAGUAAAACCUCCAUGUUUGAUGUCUGGC